rnacentral:rRNA from 1 species
AUGGGUGAGGAGGUGCAGGCCAGACCGGCAGCGUGGGGAGGAGCAGUGAGCCAGGAGCCAGGGAGAGGCCAACAUCGGGGACAAGAAGCAGCGAGGCCAGCGGUCCGUCGGGGUGGUUUGGAGGGAGAGGGAGAGGGAGGAGGUCGGCCACGAGAGAAGGAGCAGGCCGGCCCUGCUUCGUCAUGGAGGAUGUCCAGCUGCUCGUCCUCCUCCGCCUCUUCUCCAAGCGUCCAUCCUAUCGCAACUCAGCUUCAGAAUUGGGUGCGUAUGAACAAUGCAAUGGAGGUUAUGUUAAUUCCUAGAGUCUUCUAUGUUCUUUUGUCUCCUGGUGAUUACUUCGAGUGGCUAUGUGAGGUUUUUCAGUUUUCGACUCUAUGCAAUUCUUGGUGCAAGGGCCCCCGCUUCCUUGUUGUGACGUUGCAGCCUUACUGGCCCUUCUGCAGGUAUGUACAAGCGCCUCUGGCAUACCCUCGAGAAAGAAAGCGAAGGAUAAAUGGAGGCCAAGGAUGGUUGCCGUUUUUUGUAUAUUGUGAUGGCUUCAACCCUGAAACAAGAAUAGAAGGGAGCCUGAGAACACUCAGCUUGUGCCAUGGGUCAUCCAACUUCUUGUUUAUUAGGCUACUGUUUGAUAAAAUGUUUCCUGACGUCCGGACCGGUCAUACUUUUGCAAGGUUAGAUGUGUUCUUAUUGAUGCACUUCAUUGCUUCUUGCUACAUGCUCUGUUUGCUUUGUUUCAUGGCCUAUCACUUGUUCUUGUCUGGUGAGAUUAUGAUACAUGCGAGGAUUGUUGUGUCCAACCUGCACAAGAAUGCCAAGAAAUCCUCAGAGACGUGUUCAAAAAUUAUGGGCUGUGGAUGCAGGAUUAAGGACAUGUACCUGCACUACAACGAGAGAUCUGGGCUGCUUCUUUGUGGCUUCCAAACUUGA